UACGUAGGGGGCAAGCGUUGUCCGGAUUUAUUGGGCGUAAAGAGCGUGUAGGCGGCCAGGUAGGUCGGUUGUGAAGACUAGAGGCUCAACCUCUAGACGUCGACCGAAACCAUCUGGCUAGAGUCCGGAAGAGGAGAGUGGAAUUCCUGGUGUAGCGGUGAAAUGCGCAGAUAUCAGGAAGAACACCCGUGGCGAAAGCGGCUCUCUGGGACGGUACUGACGCUGAGACGCGAAAGCGUGGGGAGCGAACAGG
rnacentral:rRNA from 1 species